rnacentral:rRNA from 1 species
GAGCGCCCCGCAAGGGGAGCGGCAGACGGGAGAGUAACACGUGGGAACGUGCCCUUUGGUUCGGAACAACACAGGGAAACUUGUGCUAAUACCGGAUAAGUCCGUAAGGAGAAAGAUUUAUCGCCAAAGGAUCGGCCCGCGUCUGAUUAGCUUGUUGGUGAGGUAACGGCUCACCAAGGCGACGAUCAGUAGCUGGUCUGAGAGGAUGAUCAGCCUCACUGGGACUGAGACACGGCCCAGACUCCUACGGGAGGCAGCAGUGGGGAAUAUUGGACAAUGGGCGCAAGCCUGAUCCAGCCAUGCCGCGUGGAUGAUGAAGGCCUUAGGGUUGUAAAGUCCUUUCGGCGGGGAAGAUAAUGACGGUACCCGCAGAAGAAGCCCCGGCUAACUUCGUGCCAGCAGCCGCGGUAAUACGAAGGGGGCUAGCGUUGCUCGGAAUCACUGGGCGUAAAGCGCACGUAGGCGGCUUUUUAAGUCAGAGGUGAAAUCCUGGAGCUCAACUCCAGAACUGCCUUUGAUACUGGAGAGCUUGAGUCCGGGAGAGGUGAGUGGAACCGCGAGUGUAGAGGUGAAAUUCGUAGAUAUUCGCAAGAACACCAGUGGCGAAGGCGGCUCACUGGCCCGGUACUGACGC